AAAACGACGACGUUCAGCUUGUCCUUAGACCCCAAGGUCUCAGUCUUCUCUCUCUCUUUCGCUCCCGCUGGAUCACUCGCAGAGUCGCUGAAAUCGAAAGAUCAACUCAAGAAGCCCUCAAAUAUGCUCCGGCACCGCCUUCUCUCUACUCUCCGGACCCGCGGUGGAGCCACCGCCGGUCAGAGUCGGUGGACCAGUCCUGGCCACGAGGAUCGGCCGAAGGGCUAUCUUUUCAAUCGGACGCCGCCUCCACCAGGUAUUGACCCAAUGACAUUGCUAAUGGAGCCUACCAAGCCAAUGGAUGAGAAUGGGAGAAAAAACCUGUUUGAAUGUGUUUGAAGUUGUCAAGUCCAAAUUCGUUUCCUCCAUGUAUCUCCCAUACAAAUAUCGACUAGACGUGGCUUUAGAACCCGUAAUACGAACUAAUAAGAGUGGCGAUCAGAAUAAAUGUAGGAUGUCGUCUUCAUCAGAUAAAGAGUUGAAAGCAGACAGAGUAAGCCUGCAUUGCAUGUUAAUUUAAUACAUGUAAGAAUGCUAGUAUGACAGGUGAAAUUCGGAAUGAAUAAUGUCCAUGUUCA